UACGUAGGGACCGAGCGUUGUCCGGAUUCAUUGGGCGUAAAGAGCUCGUAGGCGGCCACUCAAGUCGAAUGUGAAACCUCGAGGCUUAACCUCGAGCCUGCAUUUGAUACUGGGCGGCUAGAGUCUGGUAGGGGGAUCUGGAAUUCCUGGUGUAGCGGUGGAAUGCGCAGAUAUCAGGAGGAACACCGGUGGCGAAGGUGGGAUCCUGGGCCAGUACUGACGCUGAGGAGCGAAAGCGUGGGGAGCGAACAGG
rnacentral:rRNA from 1 species